CCUACGGGAGGCAGCAGUAGGGAAUCUUUCACAAUGGGCGAAAGCCUGAUGGAGCAACGCCGCGUGCAGGAUGAAGGCCUUCGGGUUGUAAACUGCUUUUAUAAGCGAGAAAUAUGAUGGUAACUUAUGAAUAAGGAUCGGCUAACUACGUGCCAGCAGCCGCGGUCAUACGUAGGAUGCGAGCAUUAUCCGGAGUGACUGGGUGUAAAGAGUUGCGUGGGUGGCAUAAGAAGUAGCUAGUAAAAUCUGGUGGCCCAACCAUUCAGACUAUUAGCUAAACUGUUAAGGUCGAGCCCGUUAGGGGUAACUGGAAUUUCUAGUGUAGGAGUGAAAUCCGUAGAUAUUAGAAAGAACACCAAUAGCGUAGGCAGGUUGCUGGGACGGUUCUGACACUAAGGCACGAAAGCGUAGGGAGCAAACGGGAUUAGAUACCCCGGUAGUC
rnacentral:rRNA from 1 species